rnacentral:rRNA from 1 species
GACGAGCGGCGGACGGGUGAGUAAUGUCUGGGAAACUGCCUGGUGGAGGGAUAACUACUGGAAACGGUAGCUAAUACCGCAUAACGUCGCAAGACCAAAGUGGGGGACCUUCGGCCUCAUGCCAUCAGAUGUGCCCAGAUGGGAUUAGCUGGUAGGUGGGGUAACGGCUCACCUAGGCGACGAUCCCUAGCUGGUCUGAGAGGAUGACCAGCCACCUGGAACUGAGACACGGUCCAGACUCCUACGGGAGGCAGCAGUGGGGAAUAUUGCACAAUGGGCGCAAGCCUGAUGCAGCCAUGCCGCGUGUGUGAAGAAGGCCUUCGGGUUGAAAGCACUUUCAGCGGGGAGGAAGGCGGUGAGGUUAAUAACCUCAUCGAUUGACGUUACCCGCAGAAGAAGCACCGGCUAACUCCGUGCCAGCAGCCGCGGUAAUACGGAGGGUGCAAGCGUUAAUCGGAAUUACUGGGCGUAAAGCGCACGCAGGCGGUGUCAAGUCGGAUGUGAAAUCCCCGGGCUCAACCUGGGAACUGCAUUCGAAACUGGCAGGCUAGAGUCUUGUAGGGGGGUAGAAUUCCAGGUGUAGCGGUGAAAUGCG